rnacentral:rRNA from 1 species
AGCGAACGCUGGCGGCAGGCCUAACACAUGCAAGUCGAGCGGCCCUUCGGGGCAGCGGCGGACGGGUGAGUAACGCGUGGGAACGUGCCCUUUGGUACGGAACAACUGAGGGAAACUUCAGCUAAUACCGUAUGUGCCCUACAGGGGAAAGAUUUAUCGCCAUUGGAGCGGCCCGCGUUAGAUUAGCUAGUUGGUAGGGUAAUGGCCUACCAAGGCGACGAUCUAUAGCUGGUCUGAGAGGAUGAUCAGCCACACUGGGACUGAGACACGGCCCAGACUCCUACGGGAGGCAGCAUUGGGGAAUCUUGCGCAAUGGGCGAAAGCCUGACGCAGCCAUGCCGCGUGAAUGAUGAAGGUCUUAGGAUUGUAAAAUUCUUUCACCGGGGACGAUAAUGACGGUACCCGGAGAAGAAGCCCCGGCUAACUUCGUGCCAGCCGCCGCGGUAAAAC